GAAAAUUCUGAAAUGCACCUAGUAGAAUGGAGCCCCAUUAAACCACUUAAUUGUGUCGAUCAAGGCUGGGAUUAUACACCUAUACCUCCCUCACAUACACCUCCAUACUUCACAUAAUUUUCAUCACUUAAUUCCCACAAAAACCCACUGCCCAAAACUCUUUCUCUCUCUUCCCCUUACACGCCAUUUCUGGCGGUACAAGCAGAGGAGGAUACUGCUUGUGUUUUCUCGAAAUUUUCCUCAAUAACUCUAGCAUGCAAGACCUGAUCUUCAUUAUAUACAUAUAGGAGCAUACUGGGUAGCCAAGAAAUCAUUCGUUCAAGGUCAAGAAGCUCAAGAAAAAUAGACAUCUUCCUCAACCAGAAAAACAGUAGGUGUUUAAGGAUUCCAAGGAGGUAAAAAUCUCGUCCAAAGGAGAAGGAGAAGUCGGAUUAUUGCUGUUAGAAGUGAAGAUUUUUGUGCAGGAAAUAGCAAACUAAGGUAAUCCGAGGGAAGAGCGAAUAUGAAGUCAUGUCCCUACUAUCAUAGCAGAUGCAAGCUUGAACAUGAUCACCUUUUGCGAUUUACUUCUGUUAUGAAUACUGUUUAACUUAUGAUUAAAAUCUUAUUUUGGUUUGUAAUAACUAACCUAAUUUCAUUGGUGAUGAAUGUUUAAUUUAAGUGUAGCUCGUAGAGUCAACUCAACCAUAUUAAUGGGUUGACUCCAGCAGGUGACAGCCUCCGUAACGUUUGAUUAUGA